rnacentral:lncRNA from 1 species
UCCCUGUUCGUUAUGCGUUCUUCCUCGCUUCUGCUCCUUGCCAACUUAGCAAAUGCCGCCUGCUUCACCUUCACUUUUCCUUUGACUACAUCGUUCCACCACCAGUCACCCUGAUGUCUGCCUGAAAACCCUUGGCUACCCCGAGCACGUCCCGUGCUACCCCCCUAACCAAGUUCGCCAUCACUGUCCACAUAGCGUCCUCCUCCCCAGAACUUCUCCAAGCUCCGCCCUCAACUAACCUCCUUUCCAACUCUUGUGCUUUCUCCUUAGUCAAAGCACCCCAUCUAAUCCGCGGUUGUCCCCGAGCGCCCCUCCUCUUCCUCUUCACCCCG